AGAGACGUCUAAGUCAUGCAGGAGGCGCGCGGCCCCGGCCCGCUCCCGCCGCCCCAGACCCCUCCUCUCAUCCGACAGAAAGACAGACAAGAAGGGUUCCCGACCUGUCGUGCCCUGCAUGUUCAGAGUCUGUCAUGUUUGGUCAAGAACGGGGCGGGGCUGGAGGACAGAAUCGAUGAUGGAAUAGAUGAUACAGAAGUUGAAGAAACACAAGAAGAGAAAAUAAAAUGGGAAGUAAAACUGGAAUGUGAACGAAUACCCAAAAAAUUUAGGCACUUUGGGAACUCUACAACAUCACCAAAGAAUUUGCAAUAUAGAAAAUCAAGAAGUAAGGACUACGAUGUGUAUAGUGAUAAUGAUAUCUGCAGUCAGGAAUCAGAAGAUAAUUUUGCUAAAGAGCUUCAGCAGUAUAUACAAGCUAAAGAGAUGGCAAAUGCUGCUCAAUCCUUACCAUGUUCUGAAGAAUCAAGGAAGAAAGAAGGAGUGAAGGAUACCCAGAAAGCUGUUAAACAAAAAAACAAAAACCUUAAAGCUGUUCAGAAAAAUGGUAAACAGAAGAAAAUGAAGCGAAAAUGGGCUGGUGCUGGACAGAAAGGAUCAAACAUCUCACUGCAGAGCAGUGGCUCACUGGAAAAGGAUGAUAAACCUAAAGAGAAGCAGCAGCAUGUGAGAAUGAGUCAGGGAUUCAUCAACCAACAUACGGUGGAACGCAAGGGGAAACAAAUUUGUAAAUAUUUUCUUGAGCGGAAAUGUAUUAAGGGAGACCAGUGUAAAUUUGACCAUGAUGCAGAGAUAGAGAAGAAAAAGGAAAUGUGUAAAUUUUAUGUACAAGGAUAUUGUACCAGAGGUGAAAACUGUCUGUAUUUGCAUAAUGAAUAUCCUUGCAAGUUUUACCAUACAGGAACAAAAUGUUAUCAGGGUGAAUAUUGUAAGUUUUCACAUUCUCCACUGACUCCUGAAACACAGGAAUUGUUGGCUAAAGUUUUGGAUACUGAAAAGAAAUCAUCAUGAAAAUAAAAGGCAUAAAAAAGAAAUGCUUUGUAGUUUUUAUUGUACAAGUCUUUCACCAUCUUGGUUAAGUUGACUCCCAAGAAUUUUAUUCUUUUCGAGUUUUAUAUAGAUGAAGAGUACUUAUGACUACGCCCGUUCAAGACUUGGAGUGGUUUACAAGCGUCCUCAUUUAAAGCGCCCUCUUGUGUCAUUAUCAUGUUGUGCAUCUUCUUUAAUGGAUGAUGCGGAUGGGACAGAAUCUAGUGUAGAAGUGAGGGGAUUAGUCCUCACCAACUUGUUUCAGCCAGUGGAACAGGAGAGUAGCAUACAUGGCAGAGAUGCUGGCUGGUAGGCAGAUGUUGUGGUAGUAAAUUGUAUAAGUCUUUUCUGAUUGAGUUUUGUCAAUAAAAUAGGAAGCAAGAUUAGGCUGAGUGAGGAUGAAGAGAUCUAGGAGAUCGAAGAGAGAAAACUGUUAGGUUUCUCUAAGAAGACAUUGGGAUAAUAGGUAGAUAACUAUAUGGUUAGAUCUUUUCAUGUCAUUAAAUACAUUUGCAACAUAUUUUUAAUGGUUGCUCACAGUUUUGUUUUAUGGCUUAAAUUAUGGAUUUAUGAUAUUUUUUAAAAAACCACUUUCUUGUUGCUUCCAAUUUCUUACUAUUGUAAAUAAAAUGGAACAAUGUCUCUUGCUAUACCAUUCCUACACUUGGAGUUCUUAACUUUUUUGUUGUCAAGAUAUGGAAAUGGUUAUCUUUCUCAUUGGUUCAUAAACUAGUGAGAUUGUACACUUGUGUAAAAUGUAAAUUUUAGAAGUGUGAUGAUAUCUUUAAUAGUCAAAGGCAAAAUUCUUCAACCACAAUCAUGAGGUUCUAAAUAUGUACUUUUAUAUAGUGGUACUAAUUAUUAUUAGAAUAAUACUGUGAGACUGAAACUGUCAUUAUCAUAUUGUUGUAUUGCUGGGAAAAAUAAUAGCAUCACUAACUUGCUGUAUACACAGAGUAUAUACCAAAGGUAGUGAAUUCUUAGCCAAGUCCAUUUGAAAAUAUGAGUCAGUUAUUUUGCUUGUAACCUAGUCCUGCCAAAGCAAGAAAGGGAAUUGCACGUACUUCAAGCAAAGGUUUAUCAGACAAGACCUAGGAAAGGAAGAAAUCAGGAUAGACUCCUGAUGCCCUUAGCAUCUCUUCAUGCCCCAUUGCUGUCUCCUAGGUUGAUUGGUUCACUUCCUGGUGGUGGCUAGGGUGGAGGGCAAGACAGUGCACUAAAAGCUGCUAUUGGUGGAAGACACAGAGGAGAGAGGUUGAGUUGAUACUUCAGAAGGAUCCGUUAAAAAAGUCUUUAAUAAUUUAAUAAAAUUGUGCAAAGGAGUAAUUAUAUUACCUGUAGAAUUGAUACUUUGUAUCUUUUAAACAUCACAUAGAACUCAAAGGAUUUCCAGAUCCUGUCAUACAUAGCUCACCAUUCUAUUUUUAUUUUUUUUAUUAUUAAUGUAUUUAUUUAUGAUUAUCACAGAGAGAGAGGCAGAGACACAGUCAGAGGGAGAAGCAGGCUCCAUGCACUGGGAGCCCAAUGUGGGACUCGAUCCCGGGUCUCCAGGAUCGCGCCCUGGGCCAAAGACAGGCGCCAAACCGCUGCGCCACCCAGGGAUCCCCAUAACUCACCAUUCUAGAAGGUCAGUUUUAUAGCAAACCUGUAUGUAAGCUAACAUUGGUUAGCAAUAAGCAACACUUGUGCACACUUACCAUCUGUGGGCACAAUGCUUUUUUAAUACUGUUUAACUUUCUUGUAUAAGCCAUAUUACUCUCUGAGGUGGAUAAUGGGAUCAAUGGCAUAGAAAAGGGAAUAAAUAAGAACAUUUACCUUCUAUUUUUUCUGUUUCCAUGAACCUUAAAAAGUCUUAUAUUUAAUCUUCUAUGACAGCCUACAGUUUAUUUCCUUAUAAUGUUAUCUCACAUAUACUUUAAUACUGAUGAGGUAUAAAUUUUUACCCAUAAAGUUCAUGUAUAAGAAAAAAAUAAGUUUAUAUUCUAAGUGGCAGGACUCAUCAUCUUACUUGUAAACUUAGAAGACCAAGCAGAGGUUUGAGGGGCUGAGAAGUCAGAGAAGUUAAAAAAAAAACUCUUCCUUUACAACUUCAAUUUUAAAGAGGCAAACAUAUUUGUGUUCGUGAACUCUCUUAACUUCUGUUAAAUCAAGUUGAGGAGAGACCCCUUCACACCUAAAGCAGCCAUUAGGCUGUGGGUGUCUUCUAUCUAGGUGGUUAUUGCACCCUCUUUCACACUUUCUGACUUUUCUGCUCUCUAGCUCACUCUCUUUUCCUCAGUUAGAGCCCAUUUCCUAGUGUCCUGCUUUAGCCAUGUCCCCACCCCGAGCAGUACUCAAAUCAAGACCCAUUUGUCCACCAGGUCUUCAGUGCCCUAUGGUAUGGCCAUCUCAGCUGUACCCGUUUAGUUCCUGCCGACAUGUGCUCCUCGCUUCUCUUCUGGUUUCCUCCUGUGAGGUAAAUAUCCCUGACCCUUGAUGCAGCUCAGGCAAGUACCUGAGUACUAAAACCAUAAUUGGUCAGAAAAAAUUCUGGACCAGAACUAUAAGACCGUUGUGAUAGGAAAGUCUGUACAUGGAUUUCUGCAUCAUUUAGCCAGCACAGUGAUCUUGGCUAUCUUAAAUUUAUCUCUGCUUUUUUUUUAGAGCCAAAACAAAAAUGACAAACUGGCUAUCUAACCUCUCAUUAUCAGAAUGGAGGUGGGAUGUAAAACCUCACCUCUCCUAAUAAUUCAUGCAAACAGUUCUUACGUGGGUCUACUUCAUGAGUAGAAUGAACAUAGUUGUAAUUUCUAAGAUUCUUUGUGACAGGUUUCCUGUAACUUUUUUUGUGGUCAGUUACUAAAAGCCACAAGACAGCAAAACUCAUUUUUUUUUUCAGUUGGUAAGAUAAUAGAAGUCGAACUGUACAGUCUUCUAGUGUUUCACCUUGAUCUGGUUGUAGAACUUAAGGAAUUCAGCCCCAGAGAUGUUAAAUGACUUGUCCUUUGUCUUAAUAGGCUUCUUGACUACCAGCACAAGUGUGUCAAUUCACUGACUGGUUUUGAUAACCAUCAUACAGUGAUGCAUGUCUGUUUGAUAAGCAUAACCAUUGGAGGGUUACUUUCAAAGAUUUCUUCUGAGCUAUUGCUUGUUGAGGUCAAAAUACUAUGAUAUGAUGAUCUGGCCUGAGGAAUAUGGGGUUCAUACUGCCAAUUAGAAGCACAAAUGCCACAUUUGGGAUUUAGUGAGAUCAGAAUAUCUCAGGUUAAACACCUGCUGAAUGCUAGGAUCAUACAUAGGAAAUCCUUUUCAAUACCUGUUACAGUCCUAUAAUGGGGAGUAUUAUAGCAAUAGUGAUUGCUAUUGCUAUUUACAGAUAAGAAAACCAUGUUUGUAAGAAGACAUUACCUGCCCUGAGUCUCCAUAGCUUAUAUGCUUAGUUGCAUACCAUUACACGUUUUCUCCCUUUCCUAACAGAAUUUCAGUUUUGCUUAGGUGUCCUUCUUUCCUCCAUAAUACCAUCUGUGCUUUGUAGAUGGUGGGCUCUGGCUUCAGCCCUUAGGGUUGUAUCAACAAGGAUCUAAAGUUGUGGUUCCCAACCUUGGCUUCACAUUUUAAUCUUUCUAAAGAGAAACUUAAACAGUGAUGCCUGGAGCCUACUCCCAGAAACUCUUGAUUUUUUUUGGCAGAGGGCAGGGUACAGGGAAGCCUGGGGUGUGGACAUGAGAUUUUUGGUAGCUCCCAGGUGAUUCUAAAGCAUAGCCAAGGUUGAAAACCACUGGUCUCAACAACUAGGAAGUGCCAUUCUUGCAAUAGCUGGUUUGGGCUUGAACUAUAAAUACAUGUCCUCUGGUACACUUCUGGGAGAGUUAACAUCUCUUAAGAUACACAGGAGGUUAGACAUUGCCAUGUCUAAAUAUGACACCAAGAACUGAUGUUGCUGUCUUAUGACCUCAAGGGGAACUAGCUAACCAGCCAAAGUGACAGAGAAGGAAGUUGGGAAGAAGCUGGGUCCUUGAUGACAACUGAGCCAUGGACUUCACCAGCCUUGCAAAAUAUCAACCUACAGAUUUUGUUAUACCACAUGAAUAACCUAUUUUCUUUACUCUUUAAACCAUUUUGAUUUGAGUUCCCUGUUACCUACAGCCAAAGGCAAGCUAGUAAAUGUGAGCCAAGAAUCAAACCUCCAUUUGUCUGCAAAAGUUCACAUUUCUCUCCUGACCACCUUCUUCACCGAAGACUGUUUUCGAUCUCUGCUCCUGUGGACAACACAGAGUAAGAAACAGGUGUGAGAGAGGAGGAAACGUGACAGUGGGCAGGGCUGUGUUCCCUCCCAGCAUGGAACAGAAACUGGGAAGGAAUAAAUAUAUUUAAAGGAGAAAAUGUACAUGUUAGGAGGGAUAAGAUGCCCAACUCACCUCAAAGUGGCGUCAAUUCCUGUGAAAUUUGUAACACUUUUCACAUUAUUUAAAAAUAACAUAAGAAAAUAGUAGACGUAUUUUUCGUUGCUAUGUGUUAUUCUGGGAUAUGUCUUUAUUUUCAUAGUUAACAUCUCUGCAA